UCACUGGUAGCUCAUUUCCUUAAGAAUUGAAAGGUUGACAUCAUAAAAGAUACUAUGUUUUAUUUUUUAUAGGUGUAAAUGUAUGAUUCUAUGUGGACUUUAGAAUAACAUAUGAUUCGAUAUAUUGGGAGUUUCUAAGAGAGGUUAUGAGACUUGAAAGUUGAAAGAGAUGAACUGGCACACCCAGAAUAUGGGGCCAGAAAUUGCAGAGGUGCAGGAUCCGAAGCGGUGGCUGCUACAAGAAUGGAAUAUUCUAAAGCAUUCGCUUCUGAAAGAAUUUGAACUAAUUGUGCCACAGUUGAG
rnacentral:lncRNA from 1 species